rnacentral:rRNA from 1 species
GACGAACGCUGGCGGCGUGCUUAACACAUGCAAGUCGAGCGGUAAGGCCCUUUCGGGGGUACGACGAGCGGCGAACGGGUGAGUAACACGUGGGUGACCUGCCCUCAGCUCUGGGAUAAGCCCGGGAAACUGGGUCUAAUACCGGAUAUGACUCCAUGACGCAUGUUGUGGGGUGGAAAGCCUUGUGCGGUUGAGGAUGGGCCCGCGGCCUAUCAGCUUGUUGGUGGGGUGAUGGCCACCAAGGCGACGACGGGUAGCCGGCCUGAGAGGGCGACCGGCCACACUGGGACUGAGACACGGCCCAGACUCCUACGGGAGGCAGCAGUGGGGAAUCUUGCGCAAUGGGCGAAAGCCUGACGCAGCGACGCCGCGUGAGGGAUGACGGCC